GAUGAACGCUGACAAAAUGCUUAACACAUGCAAGUCUACUUGAAACACUUUCGGGUGUGGAUGGUGGCGGACGGGUGAGUAACGCGUAAAUAACUUGCCCCCUAGUCUGGGACAACUGUUGGAAACGACAGCUAAUACUAAAUAUUAUGAGAUCUUGGCAUCAAGGACUUAUGAAAGCUAUAUGCGCUAGGGGAGAGAUUUGCGUCCUAUUAGCUAGUUGGUGAGGUAAUGGCUCACCAAGGCAACAAUAGGUAGCCGGCCUGAGAGGGUGAACGGCCACAAGGGGACUGAAACACGGCCCAAACUCCUACGGGAGGCAGCAGUGGGGAAUAUUGCACAAUGGAGGAAACUCUGAUGCACCGACCCCGCGUGAGUGAAAAAGUAAUUCGUUGUGUAAAGCUCUAUCAGCAGGGAAAAUAGUGACGGUACCUGACUAAAAAGCUCCGGCUAAAUACGUG
rnacentral:rRNA from 1 species